rnacentral:ncRNA from 1 species
AUAAAGGCAAUGAAAAGAAUAAGUAAAAAUUAGAUGAGCUAAACAGAAAGUUACCGGAUGAUGAGAGGUGCAUAGAAACUAAUUUUGAAUACAUCUUAGAGCUUCAAGCUGAAAGGAAGACAAUUCCAAGUAGGUGAUGACGGAUCCCUGCACCCGUUAUAGUGCUAAAGUAUAACCAAAUUUUUAUAGUUAAUUACAAAUUAAUAGAUUAGGCUAUAAUUUUAUGACGUACUUGAAGAGGUUAAUUGUGUGAGCAGUUAAUAAAAUUAAGGUGGUAACACGGGAGAUAUACUCUCGUCCUUUAC